AACGAACGCUGGCGGCAUGCCUAACACAUGCAAGUCGAACGAGACCUUCGGGUCUAGUGGCGCACGGGGGCGUAACGCGUGGGAACCUGCCCUUAGGUUCGGAAUAACUCCCCGAAAGGUGUGCUAAUACCGGAUAAUGUCUUCGGACCAAAGAUCUAGCGCCGCGGGAUGGGCCCGGGUUGGAUUAGCGUGUUGGUGGGGUAGUGGCCUACCAAGGCGACGAUGGGGAGCUGGUCUGAGAGGAUGACCGGCGACACUGGGACUGAGAUACGGCACAGACGCCGACGGGAGGCAGCAGUGGGGAAUAGUGCAGAAUGGGCGGAAGCCUGAUGCAGCAACGCCGCGUGCGGGAUGAAGGCCUGCGGGUUGUAAACCGCUUUCGCCUGUGACGAAGCGUGAGUGACGGUAAUGGGUAAAGAAGCACCGGCUAACUACGUG
rnacentral:rRNA from 1 species